GUCCAUAGCGACGGCGGAGUUCGGCACCUCGAUGUCGGCUCACCUUAGCGCGGGGCUGGAGAAGGUCCCAAGCGUUUGGCUGUUCGCCAAUUAAAAAGGUACGCGAGCUGGGUUCAAACCGUGAGGGCUGUUGAGUCUUUGACUCGACACUCUCACCGUUUGAAUCCCUUCGAGAUUUCUGUUGUCAGAAUUCGAUAAAGUGAAGAAAGAAUUAGAAUGAAUGUCUUUUCGUCUUGAAAUUAAGUAUAGAACCAACCAUGACACGGCGGUUGCAUAUAGAAAUAUAUGCAAGCAAGCUGACUCAUAUCGGUGAAACCCGACUUUCUAGCAAUAGAGAAGGGUAAUACCGAGGGAAGGGAAGAAAAGCACCCGUAUCGAUUACGAUACGAGCGCUCGUUCGGCAAGAAAGAAACCAAGUUUACUUGUUUCUUUCUGCCUCACUUCACGCCCGUAGAGACUGAACGUCAGACACCCUUCGGGGUGAAAUUACAGUCCGAUCCUUGGAGUAAUCCAAGUUAACGAAAUGCGUGAGACAGGUUGGUCUCCUAUCUACUACAGGCGUUGAUACUUGAUGAGCGUUGCCCCUAGUACGAGAGGACCGGGGUGAACUGACCUCUGGUCUACGAGCUGUUCCGCCAGGAGCAUCGCUCGGUAGCUAUGUCGGGACGGGAUAACCGCUGAAAGCAUAUAAGCGGGAAGCCCACUCAAAGAUUAGGUAUCGUUAUGAGACUCCUAGAAGAUUACUAGGUUGAUAGGCUUUAGAUGUACGCACAGUAAUGUGUUCAGUCGAGAAGUACUAAUAUGUCCAGUCUCCCAUGCGG
rnacentral:rRNA from 1 species